UAUUCGAGCGUCGUGUGGCGCGAGUAAAAUAGGUCUUUCUCUCGAUAGCUCGACGAAACUAUAGAACGAUGUCGAAAAAUCAGCUGUUGGACUUUUCAGCAUGAUUUUACUGUGCUGAAAAGUAAUUGCCUAUAGGAAAUGUAUACAAAUUACCUAGCAACCGUCGUUCACUCGAGUUAGAAAAAGAUAGUGAUACUUUUUUCUCCAUAUACUCCUACUGUCGCAUUUAUCCUGAAAUUCGCACAUGCGCAAAUAGAAAGACGACAAUUGGAAACCUGCAUAGUGAUCAUAUGUUUCUUAUUCUUAUUGAAUAUCAUAACUUGUGUGUUUGUAUUGUGAAAAUAAUAUUAUUAUCAUAUUAUUAAUCGUUCAAUAAAAAUUUUCACAUUAUUAAAAACAGUCAGAGAUUUUAAUUAAUAAAAUUAAUAAACUAAUUAAUAGAAUUCAAUUGAAAAAUAAAACAUGAAUAGAUUGUUAUUAUUUACACUUGUACAAUUGUUUAUAUUUAGAAGCAUCUACUAACAGGGGACCUCGUAUCCGUAUAUCACCAAAGUCCUGCAGUGGUUCGGCAUAAUAAAAAUUAGCUGGAUGUGAAUUAAUAAUGGCACUAGUAAAAGAACUUCCGGUUCUCCAGCCAGCAACAAGAACACUUCUCAUUGGCCUUCCACCUCUUUUUAUCAACAAAUCAUCAAGAUUGCUACAGAAAUAAAAAAGAAAAACAUAACGCCUCAAUUUUUAAAUAUCAUAACUAUAUAGUAAAAUAAAAUCUAUAUAAUAUCUUAUAUUGCGACUAAAUUUUCCAUUGGGGAACUCGUAAUUUUCCAUUUCCUGUUCGAUGUCACGUCAUCGCUGAUCAACGAUAUUCUGAAUCUUUGUCAAACGAUUUCCUUCCUUUAAAAAAAAAAUGGAUCGAUUUUAUAUUUUAUUUGAGAAAUUUUUUAUCACAUACAGUAAUAGAAUACAAUUAAUUGCAUUACUAUGCAUUGAAUAUAAAUUUUUAAUAUUGAUCGUACGGAAAUUUUGUAAAGCAACCGAUAACUAUUCUCAAUAAAUAGAUUUUGAAAUCA